GAUGAACGCUGGCGGCGUGCCUAAUACAUGCAAGUCGAGCGAAGCGGGGACGGGUGAGUAACACGUGGAUAACCUCCUAUAAGACUGGGAUAACUUCGGGAAACCGGAGCUAAAACGGAUACUUAUAGAUGGUUCCGCUCUGCAUUUGCUAGUUGGUAAGGUAACGGCUUACCAAGGCAACGAUGCCUAGCCGACCUGAGAGGGUGAUCGGCCAGACUGGAACUGAGACACGGACCAGACUCCUACGGGAGGCAGCAGUGGGGAAUCUUCCGCAAGGGGCGAAAGCCUGACGGAGCAACGCCGCGUGAGUGAUGAAGGUCUUCGGAUCGUAAAGCACUGUUAUUAGGGAAGCGGGAACUAAAGAGAAAGCCCCGGCUAACUACGUGCCAGCAGCCGCGGUAAUAG
rnacentral:rRNA from 1 species